AUGAUACUUGUUGGAACUGUGGGACAGGUUAUUUCUGAACUUAUCAGCAACAGUGGUCAUGCUAUAAAUUGCUCUAGCCAUGUCCAGUUAACAAAAUUUCCUUGGAACCCUGGCAUUGUAGUAUGGCAUGAUAAUACUGAAGAGAUGAUUCCCGUAUCUCUUAUAGACCUGUUGGGCAUCACUUUCUCAUACCAAGAUUGUCUAGCUCAUGAAGAUCUCUUUCAUCUGAAGCAACGAGUGUUUGCUGAAUGUCCUUCUGAUCAAAUCUCAAUGGAGACACUUACUGUGAUACUAACAAUGGUUGCUUCUACAAGGCAUGGCACCAGUGAUAGUAAGUCUACUACAAGUAUGGUUUUCAGUUUUUUAUUCGCAAAAAAAAAAAGUAUGGUUUUCAGUUUGCAACCACUAUGGCCUCCACCCUUGCUUGUGAGCAUUUACAGAGCGCAGACUAUGCCACUUCCAAUUAUUCUGAGCAUGUGCAAUUCUAUCAUAAUUAUCAGUCAAGCAUUGCAGAAAUCAAACUUUUCAGCUCAGAAAAUUCUUGUAUUUGAACAAGAGCAUUCAUUUCUAAGGGCAUUUAUUAAUGACUGUUGGCCUCUUGAGAUGUCACAUAUGCAGGAGACCUCGUAUCACAAAACACCUUCCAGUUGCAAAGUUACAGGUCAAUUGGUGCGGUAA
rnacentral:rRNA from 1 species